GGAUUAGAUACCCUGGUAGUCCACGCCGUAAACGAUGUCGACUAGCCGUUGGUCUCCUUGAGGGAUUAGUGGCGCAGCUAACGCAGUAAGUCGACCGCCUGGGGAGUACGGCCGCAAGGUUAAAACUCAAAUGAAUUGACGGGGGCCCGCACAAGCGGUGGAGCAUGUGGUUUAAUUCGAAGCAACGCGAAGAACCUUACCAGGUCUUGACAUCCUCGGAACUUAGCAGAGAUGCUUUGGUGCCUUCGGGAACCGAGAGACAGGUGCUGCAUGGCUGUCGUCAGCUCGUGUUG
rnacentral:rRNA from 1 species